rnacentral:rRNA from 1 species
GAUGAACGCUGACAGAAUGCUUAACACAUGCAAGUCUACUUGAACUUCGGUUUGGGUGGCGGACGGGUGAGUAACGCGUAAAGAACUUGCCUCACAGAUAGGGACAACAUUUGGAAACGAAUGCUAAUACCUGAUAUUAUGAUUUUAGGGCAUCCUAGAAUUAUGAAAGCUAUAUGCACUGUGAGAGAGCUUUGCGUCCCAUUAGCUAGUUGGAGAGGUAACGGCUCACCAAGGCGAUGAUGGGUAGCCGGCCUGAGAGGGUGAUCGGCCACAAGGGGACUGAGACACGGCCCUUACUCCUACGGGAGGCAGCAGUGGGGAAUAUUGGACAAUGGACCAAGAGUCUGAUCCAGCAAUUCUGUGUGCACGAUGAAGUUUUUCGGAAUGUAAAGUGCUUUCAGUUGGGAGGAAAAAAAUGACGGUACCAACAGAAGAAGUGACGGCUAAAUACGUG